AAUGAACGCUAGCGGCAGGCCUAACACAUGCAAGUCGAGGGGUAGAAGUUUUCGGACUUUGAGACCGGCGCACGGGUGCGUAACGCGUAUGCAAUCUGCCUUACACUAAGGGAUAGCCCAGAGAAAUUUGGAUUAAUACCUUAUAGUAUAUUGAUGUGGCAUCACAUUAUUAUUAAAGAUUUAUUGGUGUAAGAUGAGCAUGCGUCCCAUUAGCUAGUUGGUAUGGUAACGGCAUACCAAGGCUAUGAUGGGUAGGGGUCCUGAGAGGGAGAUCCCCCACACUGGUACUGAGACACGGACCAGACUCCUAUGGGAGGCAGCAGUGAGGAAUAUUGGUCAAUGGGCGCAAGCCUGAACCAGCCAUGCCGCGUGCAGGAUGAAGCAUCUAUGGUGUGUAAACUGCUUUUGUACGGGAAGAAACACCUCUACGUGUAGAGGCUUGACGGUACCGUAAGAAUAAGGAUCGGCUAACUCCGUGCCAGCCGCCGCAGUAAUAC
rnacentral:rRNA from 1 species